rnacentral:rRNA from 1 species
GGGGAAUAUUGCACAAUGGGCGAAAGCCUGAUGCAGCAACGCCGCGUGAGUGAUGACGGUCUUCGGAUUGUAAAGCUCUGUCUUUUGGGACGAUAAUGACGGUACCAAAGGAGGAAGCCACGGCUAACUACGUGCCAGCAGCCGCGGUAAUACGUAGGUGGCAAGCGUUGUCCGGAUUUACUGGGCGUAAAGGAUGUGUAGGCGGAUACUUAAGUGGGAUGUGAAAUACUCGGGCUUAACCUGGGUGCUGCAUUCCAAACUGGAUAUCUAGAGUGCAGGAGAGGAAAGUAGAAUUCCUAGUGUAGCGGUGAAAUGCGUAGAGAUUAGGAAGAAUACCAGUGGCGAAGGCGACUUUCUGGACUGUAACUGACACUGAGGCUCGAAAGCGUGGGGAGCAAAC